rnacentral:rRNA from 1 species
CGUGUAGGCGGUCUGUUAAGUCUGGCGUGAAAGCUCUCGGCUAAACCGGGAGAGGUCGUUGGAUACUGACGGACUAGAGGACGGUAGAGGCGUGUGGAAUUCCGGGUGUAGUGGUGAAAUGCGUAGAGAUCCGGAGGAACACCAGUGGCGAAGGCGACACGCUGGGCCGUACCUGACGCUAAAGCGCGACAGCAUGGGGAGCAAACG